CACAUCAUCAACUCCUUUGUAGCUGUAUCGUCAUUUCCUGAUGCUUGGAAAGUCGCUAAGAUCACUCCAAUACCUAAGAGUAAUAACUCUAAUUCGAUCAGUAAUAUGCGUCCCAUAUCAAUACUGCCAGUUCUUUCGAAGGUAUUUGAAAAGCUUACAGUUACACACUAUCAAUUGGUUGAGCACAUUGACUCCCAAAAGCUGUUGAAAGAGAACAUACCCGGCUUUAGGAAAGGCCAUUCAACUACCACAGUUCUGCUAGAUAUUAGAGACGACGUACUUCGUGCAAUGAAGCGUAGGGAAGUUACACUCAUGGUCCUAGCUGACUUUUCGAAAGCCUUCCACACCAUUAAAUGCAAAACUGUGUUGAAGAAACUCAAUCAGUUAGGUUUCUCAAAUGAAUAUCUUAAAUGGACGGUGAACUACCUAACUGGGAGACGGCAUUUCGUCCAAAUUGACGACAAAACAUCCGGCUUGUGUCCAGUCAACUUCGGCGUUCCUCAGGGGUCUAUAUUAGGGCCAUUAAUCUUUAAUCUAUAUGUUGCUGACCUUCAAUCAUACAUCAAAGACAAAUGUCAU